GAGCGGUAGCACAGAGAGCUUGCUCUCGGGUGACGAGCGGCGGACGGGUGAGUAAUGUCUGGGAAACUGCCUGAUGGAGGGGGAUAACUACUGGAAACGGUAGCUAAUACCGCAUAACGUCGCAAGACCAAAGUGGGGGACCUUCGGGCCUCAUGCCAUCAGAUGUGCCCAGAUGGGAUUAGCUAGUAGGUGGGGUAAUGGCUCACCUAGGCGACGAUCCCUAGCUGGUCUGAGAGGAUGACCAGCCACACUGGAACUGAGACACGGUCCAGACUCCUACGGGAGGCAGCAGUGGGGAAUAUUGCACAAUGGGCGCAAGCCUGAUGCAGCCAUGCCGCGUGUAUGAAGAAGGCCUUCGGGUUGUAAA
rnacentral:rRNA from 1 species